UGGCCGUAAACGAUGUGGACUUGGUGUUGGAAUGGCUCCGAGCUGCUCCAGUGCCGAAGGGAAGCUGUUAAGUCCACCGCCUGGGAAGUACGGUCGCAAGACUGAAACUUAAAGGAUUGGCGGGGGGAGCACCACAACGCGUGGAGCCUGCGGUUUAAUUGGAUUCAACGCCGGACAUCUCACCAGGGGGCGACAGCAGAAUGAUGGCCAGGUUGAUGACCUUGCUUGACAAGCUGAGAGGAGGUGCAUGGCGUGUGACUGU
rnacentral:rRNA from 1 species